UUAACCCCUGUGUGUUCUCAGAGGUGUAUCCAAAUCCUCAGUGGCCACCCACAGGUGCCAGUUUCAAAUCUGGCCACUGAUUGGUUUGACCACGACUUUUCCAGAAACUCACUUCCGGGCCAAACCACGACACUUAUAAAUCUUGAAGAUUUUAUGUGUUUCCAGUAUAAAACUGAGGUCUGCAACAAGAGUCAGAUUACUAGGUGGCAAUAGCCACCUCAAUUUUUACCUGAGGAAAGGUAAUUUAUUGAAUACUGUGCCUUGCUCCUGGAUUAUGAUGGAAUAAAAAAAACCCCAUUACCAGCACCUUGGAAGUUUUACCUGGAAUAAAAGAAACUCCAUUACCAGCACCUUGGAAGUUUUACCUGGGACUUUGAACACAACUGGGGGCAAUGAUCUAAUGAAAAGCAACUCUUCCAAACCUUCUUAAGGUUGGAUGGGACCACUUAGCAAACGGACAUGGCUCUGCUGUCUCUGAAUGAUCAAGAUAAUUUCAAAAACUAAAAUGAAUAAAUUUAGAAUGCAAAUAUGAAAAAAUAGUGUAAAAAGAGCAGAGGACUAUUUAAUUUUUAAUAACAGCAGUAGAAAGACUACUCAUGGCAAUAAUAACAUGCAAUUCAAUAUCUUCAGUAAAUGUUCUUCAUUCAAAGACUGUGAAUGAGAGAAGGUCAAUUUGUCCAAGAGAUAGAACACACAUUAUUGGAAUAUUGUGGAAUUUAAGAGUAUUUCACAGAGUGGAACUGGUGAUGGUUUUAAUACUGCAGUGUUACAAUCCUGUGAACUACCUUCUAGUGACAAGUAAUAAUCAUCUUCCAAAAGUUAA